GUGCUCGCUUCAGCAGCACAUAUACUAAAAUUGGAAUGAUACAGAGAAGAUUAGCGUGGCCCCUACAUAAGGAUGAGAGGCAAAUUCCUGCAGCUUUCCAUAUUUAA
rnacentral:snRNA from 1 species